UACGUAGGGUGCAAGCGUUAAUCGGAAUUACUGGGCGUAAAGUGUGCGCAGGCGGCUUUGCAAGACAGAUGUGAAAUCCCCGGGCUCAACCUGGGAACUGCAUUUGUGGCUGCAAGGCUAGAGUACGGCAGAGGGGGAUGGAAUUCCGCGUGUAGCAGUGAAAUGCGUAGAUAUGCGGAGGAACACCAAUGGCGAAGGCAAUCCCCUGGGCCUGUACUGACGCUCAUGCACGAAAGCGUGGGGAGCAAACAGG
rnacentral:rRNA from 1 species